AGGCACCACUGGGGACAUCGUGCUGACCCAAUCUCCAGCUUCCUUGGCUGUGUCACUGGGGCAAAGGGUCACCAUCUCCUGCAAGGCCAGCCAGAGUAUGCAGGAACUCCAGAGGACCAAGAGUGCACAGCCAUGAUCAUGGACGGUUAACUUCCCAGACACCUUCUACUUCUACGUGAGCCUUCUUUGAGAGUCUGUAUCCUCCCAUGUGGAACAGGAAAGCUCAACAUAAUGAUCUUUAGCAACUUCUCUCAGA